rnacentral:rRNA from 1 species
UACGUAGGUGGCAAGCGUUGUCCGGAUUUAUUGGGUUUAAAGGGUGCGUAGGUGGUCCCAUAAGUCAGUGCUGAAAUAUCCCGGCUUAACCGGGAGGGUGGCAUUGAUACUGCGGGACUUGAGUAAAGUUGAGGUAGGCGGAAUUGACGGUGUAGCGGUGAAAUGCUUAGAUAUCGGGAGGAACACCAGUGGCGAAGGCGACUACCUGGACUGUUCUUGACGCUGAGGCGCGAAAGCUAGGGGAGCAAACGGG